AACACAAGAUUUUGAUCAUUAUUUGUAAUAAUACACAAAGCUACUUUCCCCUGCUUUGAAGUUAGAGCGUGAAUUCCGGAGCUGCGUCUGACUGUAAGUUUUCCUGACAUGCCAACCCAGAGGCAAGAGUUCUCAGAGACAUCCUGGUAUGUAGACUUGCUAGAAUGUUUCAUCUGAAGGAGUUCCAAGAUGGCACAGCGGAUGGCAGCUUCAAAACAUGGAUCACCUCGGUCCACGACGCUGGACUGCACUAUGAGAGGGCACAAAUAUCAAGCCUUUGUGGGAUCACUAUGAAUGCCCUAAGGCGAAAAGCUGGGACAGAUCUUUCCGGCAAUAUAGCGGGACAUUUGCAGGACGGCACUAUGAAAGAGGCUUCUUUGCCUUCUGUGAUAUCUGACUUCCAGCACCGACAAAGUGACCGAUAUCUCUUUGAAUGGACUGACCCCAUAGUACAUCAAGGACCUCAUCCAAAUCUAUACUCCAUCGCUCAAAUUGAGGUCCGAGGGCCAGCUCCAGCCCGUGGUGCCUAGAGCGAGAUUUAAAACCAGGGGGGACAGGGCUCUCUCUGUGGUGGGCCCCAGACUUUGGAAUGCCCUCCCCCUCCAUGUCCCAACAGCCCCCACGGUGGAGUGCUUUAAGUCUCGUCUUAAGACCCAUUUUUAUUCCCUGGCUUUUUAACUUUGCGUGAGUUUUGUGGUCCUCUGUGUUUUU